AGUGAACGCUGGCGGUAGGCCUAACACAUGCAAGUCGAACGGCAGCACAGUAAGAGCUUGCUCUUACGGGUGGCGAGUGGCGGACGGGUGAGGAAUACAUCGGAAUCUACUUUUUCGUGGGGGAUAACGUAGGGAAACUUACGCUAAUACCGCAUACGACCUACGGGUGAAAGCGGGGGAUCUUCGGGCCUUGCGCGAUUGAAUGAGCCGAUGUCGGAUUAGCUAGUUGGCGGGGUAAAGGCCCACCAAGGCGACGAUCCGUAGCUGGUCUGAGAGGAUGAUCAGCCACACUGGAACUGAGACACGGUCCAGACUCCUACGGGAGGCAGCAGUGGGGAAUAUUGGACAAUGGGCGCAAGCCUGAUACAGCCAUACCGCGUGGGUGAAGAAGGCCUUCGGGUUGUAAAGCCCUUUUGUUGGGAAAGAAAAGCAGCAGGUUAAUACCCCGCUGUUCUGACGGUACCCAAAGAAUAAGCACCGGCUAACUUCGUG
rnacentral:rRNA from 1 species